UACGUAGGGUGCAAGCGUUGUCCGGAAUUAUUGGGCGUAAAGAGCUCGUAGGCGGUCUGUCGCGUCGGCUGUGAAAACCCGGAGCUCAACUCCGGGCCUGCAGUCGAUACGGGCAGACUGGAGUUCGGCAGGGGAGACUGGAAUUCCUGGUGUAGCGGUGAAAUGCGCAGAUAUCAGGAGGAACACCGGUGGCGAAGGCGGUUCUCUGGGCCUUACCUGACGCUGAGGAGCGAAAGCGUGGGGAGCGAACAGG
rnacentral:rRNA from 1 species